rnacentral:rRNA from 1 species
AAGGCUAAAUCAGCCUGGCGUUGGUUGUCCAGGUGAAAGGAUGUAGGCAUGUAUCUUAGGCAAAUCCGGGGUACUCUAUGCUGAGAUCUGAUAGCAAGCUGUACUUGUACAGCGAAGUGGUUGAUGCCAUGCUUCCAGGAAAAGUCUCUAAGCUUCAGUUACACAGGAAUCGUACCCGAAACCGACACAGGUGGUCAGGUCGAGUAGACCAAGGCGCUUGAGAGAACUCUGCUGAAGGAACUAGGCAAAAUGGUACCGUAACUUCGGGAGAAGGUACGCUGUUGUUGGUGAUGGAACUCGCUUCCUGAGCUGACGACAGCCGCAGAAACCAGGCCGCUGCAACUGUUUAUUAAAAACAUAGCACUCUGCAAACACGAAAGUGGACGUAUAGGGUGUGAUGCCUGCCCGGUGCUGGAAGGUUAAUUGAUGGGGUUAGCGUAAGCGAAGCUCUUGAUCGAAGCCCCAGUAAACGGCGGCCGUAACUAUAACGGUCCUAAGGUAGCGAAAUUCCUUGUCGGGUAAGUUCCGACCUGCACGAAUGGCAUAAUGAUGGCGGCGCUGUCUCCAGCAGAGGCUCAGUGAAAUCGAAAUCGCUGUGAAGAUGCAGUGUACCCGCGGCUAGACGGAAAGACCCCGUGAACCUUUACUGCAGCUUGACACUGAACUUUGACCUUACUUGUGUAGGAUAGGUGGGAGGCUUUGAAGCUGGAACGCUAGUUCCAGUGGAGCCGUCCUUGAAAUACCACCCUGGUAAUGUUGAGGUUCUAACUCUGUCCCGUGAUCCGGGACGAGGACCGUGUCUGGUGGGUAGUUUGACUGGGGCGGUCUCCUCCUAAAGAGUAACGGAGGAGUACGAAGGUGCGCUCAGCGUGGUCGGAAAUCACGCGUAGAGUAUAAAGGCAAAAGCGCGCUUAACUGCGAGACCCACAAGUCGAGCAGGUACGAAAGUAGGUCUUAGUGAUCCGGUGGUUCUGUAUGGAAGGGCCAUCGCUCAACGGAUAAAAGGUACUCUGGGGAUAACAGGCUGAUACCGCCCAAGAGUUCAUAUCGACGGCGGUGUUUGGCACCUCGAUGUCGGCUCAUCUCAUCCUGGGGCUGAAGCAGGUCCCAAGGGUAUGGCUGUUCGCCAUUUAAAGAGGUACGCGAGCUGGGUUUAGAACGUCGUGAGACAGUUCGGUCCCUAUCUACCGUGGGCGCUGGAAAUUUGAGAGGAUCUGCUCCUAGUACGAGAGGACCAGAGUGGACGAACCUCUGGUGUACCGGUUGUGACGCCAGUCGCAUCGCCGGGUAGCUAUGUUCGGAAGGGAUAACCGCUGAAAGCAUCUAAGCGGGAAGCCUACCUCAAGAUAAGAUUUCCCUAGGACUUUAUGUCCUCUAAAGAGCCGUUCGAGACUAGGACGUUGAUAGGUUGGAUGUGGAAGCAUAGUGAUAUGUGAAGCUGACCAAUACUAAUUGCUCGUGAGGCUUGACUAU